rnacentral:rRNA from 1 species
UACGUAGGGGGCAAGCGUUGUCCGGAAUCAUUGGGCGUAAAGCGCGUGUAGGCGGACUGGAAGGUCUGGUGUGAAAGCCCGGGGCUCAACCCCGGAGGGGCACUGGAAACCGACAGUCUUGAGUCCGGAAGAGGAGAGUGGAAUUCCUGGUGUAGCGGUGGAAUGCGCAGAUAUCAGGAGGAACACCUAUGGCGAAGGCAGCUCUCUGGUACGUGACUGACGCUGAGACGCGAAAGCGUGGGGAGCGAACAGG